rnacentral:tRNA from 1 species
GUUUCCAUAGUGAAGUGGUUAUCACGUUAAGCCACACGCCUUGGAAAGGUCCCUAGUUCAAAACUGGGUGGAAACA